rnacentral:rRNA from 1 species
GACGAACGCUGGCGGCGCGCCUAACACAUGCAAGUCGAACGAGCGAGAGGAGGUUUACUUUCUCAAGCGAGUGGCGAACGGGUGAGUAACGCGUGAGGAACCUGCCUCAAAGAGGGGGACAACAGUUGGAAACGACUGCUAAUACCGCAUAAGCCCACGACCCGGCAUCGGGUAGAGGGAAAAGGAGCAAUCCGCUUUGAGAUGGCCUCGCGUCCGAUUAGCUAGUUGGUGAGGUAAUGGCCCACCAAGGCGACGAUCGGUAGCCGGACUGAGAGGUUGAACGACCACAUUGGGACUGAGACACGGCCCAGACUCCUACGGGAGGCAGCAGUGGGGAAUAUUGCACAAUGGGGGAAACCCUGAUGCAGCGACGCCGCGUGGAGGAAGAAGGUCUUCGGAUUGUAAACUCCUGUUGUUGAGGAAGAUAAUGACGGUACUCAACAAGGAAGUGACGGCUAACUACGUG